rnacentral:rRNA from 1 species
UACGUAGGGUGCAGGGCGUUAAUCGGAAUUACUGGGCGUAAAGCGUGCGCAGGCGGUUUGCUAAGAGAGAUGUGAAAUCCCCGGGCUUAACCUGGGAACUGCGUUUCUAACUGGCAGGCUUGAGUGUGGCAGAGGGGGGUGGAAUUCCACGUGUAGCAGUGAAUGCGUAGAGAUGUGGAGGAACACCGAUGGCGAAGGCAGCCCCCUGGGCUAACACUGACGCUCAUGCACGAAAGCGUGGGAGCAACAG